rnacentral:rRNA from 1 species
UACGGAGGGGACUAGCGUUGUUCGGAAUUACUGGGCGUAAAGAGUACGUAGGCGGCUUUGCAAGUUGGGUGUGAAAGCCCAGGGCUCAACCCUGGAACUGCACUCAAAACUGUGGAGCUAGAGAUCGGAAGAGGUAAGUGGAAUUCCCAGUGUAGAGGUGAAAUUCGUAGAUAUUGGGAAGAACACCAGUGGCGAAGGCGGCUUACUGGUCCGACACUGACGCUGAGGUACGAAAGCGUGGGGAGCAAACAGG